rnacentral:rRNA from 1 species
UACGUAGGGUGCGAGCGUUAAUCGGAAUUACUGGGCGUAAAGCGUGCGCAGGCGGUUUUGUAAGCCAGAUGUGAAAUCCCCGGGCUCAACCUGGGAAUGGCGGUGGAUACUGAGAAGCUGGAGUACGGUAGAGGAAGGUGGAAUUCCCGGUGUAGCGGUGAAAUGCGUAGAGAUCGGGAGGAACAUCAGUGGCGAAGGCGGCCUUCUGGACCAGUACUGACGCUGAGGCACGAAAGCGUAGGGAGCAAACAGG